rnacentral:sRNA from 1 species
GAAAGCUAACGGCCAGGGAGAGGAUCAGUCUCUUGCUGGACCCUGGCAGCUUUGUUGAGAGCGACAUGUUUGUGGAACACAGAUGUGCAGAUUUUGGAAUGGCUGCUGAUAAGAAUAAGUAGAGACGGGCUUUUGCCAUGUUGGUCAGGGUGGCCUUGAACUCCUGGCUUCAAGCAAUCCACCCACCUCGGACUCCCAAAGUGUUGGGACGACAGGCGUGAGCCACGGUACCCUGCCUUGUGUUUCUUUAUACGUCCUCCUUCAUUUUCCUGGAGACAGCGUGGUCACUGGACGAGGCCGAAUCAAUGGAAGAUUGGUUUAUGUCUUCAGUCAGGAUUUUACAGUUUUUGGAGGCAGUCUGUCAGGAGCACAUGCCCAAAAGAUCUGCAAAAUCAUGGACCAGGCCAUAACGGUGGGGGCUCCAGUGAUUGGGCUGAAUGACUCUGGGGGAGCACGGAUCCAAGAGGGAGUGGAGUCUUUGGCUGGCUAUGCAGACAUCUUUCUGAGGAAUGUUAUGGCAUCCGGAGUCAUCCCUCAGAUUUCUCUGAUCAUGGGCCCAUGUGCUGGUGG